UACAGAGGGGGCAAGCGUUGUUCGGAAUUACUGGGCGUAAAGGGCGCGUAGGCGGCCUUCUAAGUCGAACGUGAAAUCCCCGGGCUCAACCCGGGAACUGCGUCCGAUACUGGAAGGCUUGAAUCCGGGAGAGGGAUGUGGAAUUCCAGGUGUAGCGGUGAAAUGCGUAGAUAUCUGGAGGAACACCGGUGGCGAAGGCGACAUCCUGGACCAAUUCUGACGCUGAGGAGCGAAAGCCAGGGGAGCAAACGGG
rnacentral:rRNA from 1 species